GAAAUGCGAUAAUUAAUGUGAAUUGCAGAAUUCAGUGAAUCAUCGAAUCUUUGAACGCACAUUGCGCCCGCCAGUAUUCUGGCGGGCAUGCCUGUCCGAGCGUCAUUUCAACCAUCAAGCCCCCGGGCUUGUGUUGGGGACCUGCGGCUGCCCGCAGGCCCUGAAAACCAGUGGCGGGCUCGCUGUCACACCGAGCGUAGUAGCAAUCACCUCGCUCAGGGCGUGCUGCGGGUUCCGGCCGUUAAACAGCCUUACAAAACCCAAGGUUGACCUCGGAUCAGGUAGGAAGACCCGCUGAACUUAAGC
rnacentral:misc_RNA from 1 species